rnacentral:ncRNA from 2 species
UCGACUCCCGGUAUGGGAACCA